UGAAAAAUUGUAAGACAAACUUAAAGUGCAAUCUUAUACUGCUGUUUUUCAGAAUUUACAAUACACAAAUGUGGACACCUCUGCAGAAGUCAACCACAUUAUCAAUGCUUUUACAGCAAAUCAACAAUUUUAAGAAAACCUGAUUUUAUAAAACAUUUAGGACUCUGCAAACGAAAACACCAACCACCAACCCCUCACACUAAAGCCACCACAACAUCUGCCACAGCUCUGCCCACCAUUCAUGUGCCUCCCUCCACUGUCACGGCUCUGCCAACCAUUCAUUUGUGGAUGUCUCCUCCUCCCAGGGGUAAGCCAAAACAUGUUUGAACAUAAGCAUGUUUAUGUUCUGCACUGUGUGCAUGUUUUAUUUGAAUAAUUUGUACAGGCCAUCAUUCAUGGCCUUUGCGAGCUGCAAGGUUUGUUUUGGCAGGAGGUUGAAGAGAUUCCUCCAGGGCCCCACUUAUCACUCAUGUGAAGUUGAGGAAUUUGACAGAAGAAUUGCUCGAGAAAUGAAAAAUAUCCCCAACCAGAAUGUAAAGCAUUUAUUUUGUUUGAUGUUAUUUAAUAUGUAAUAUAUACAUUAUUAUCCCAGUUAUUAUUAUUUUAUUUUUUUGCACCAUUUUUCUCUGCAUUGUUUACAGCUUGGUGACUUGUAGGACCUCAUAAAAAAAAAAAAAAAAAAAAAAAAACUAAACUUUUUAUUCUCUAACAAACCUCACCAUUUACUUGCAGCUAUGAACUGACCUGCUUCCAAGAGCUCACUUGCUCUGCUAUUUCCUCCAACAAUUUGAAUAGGAACAUGACGUAAUGUUGGUCUAAAAUCGAAGUACUACAUUUCUGCCAUCUAGUGGUAGGGAAUAGAAAUGAGAUAUUACACCACAUUAUGUAGUUUGUUUUAUAUAUUUCUGACUCUGACAAUAUUAAAUAUGGAUUUAGAUUACUUUUUGUUCCUGCACUUACAGUUCCCUUUGGAUAACAAUGACACUUUCAUAUUGUUUAUACUGUGGGCACAUGUAGUCAUUUGUUGUCAGUGUUUGUAAUGGAUGGAGAUUUGGUCUCUCUAAACACAAAUGGCAAAACAAGCCAAUAAUAAAAGAUUAAAUGGUAUUUUAAUGACACUCACAUCACUCAAAUCAGUGAUUAUCUCAGUAAGAUCUGUACAGAUGUUCAGUGUAAUGAAGGUACUGAGAGAUUCAGAGACAGACUGAAGCUGGAUCAUCAGACUGGAUCUCUGACCAUCAUGAACAUCACAAACACAGACUCUGGAGUUUAUCAUCUUGAGAUCAUCACCAACAGCAGCAGCAUCCGCCGUCAGCACAUUAACAUUAUCAGUAAAAAGAGGCAAAGUGAGAAUGUCACGAAUUGGGUUGUGUAUGUAUUCGGUAUAGGGGGAGUAUGUGUCGGUGUUGCUCUGGUGGUUGCAGGAGUAACUGGUGAGAAUUUCUGCUUUUGUGUUUUCUGUGCAUGUGUUUAUCAUUACAAAAUAUUUAAAUGUGCAAGCUGUUUAGGGAAGAUAACUGGAUUUUUAAUGGGGAUCGUUACAUGUUUUUUAUUUUUUUUAUUUUUUUAUGUUCCUUCAGGUUAACUUAUUUUAAUAAAGUAUUUUUGCACCAAAAAGCAGAUUUUCAACCCUAAUUCUGACCUUCUGUCUAAAAGGAUCUCUUUUUUUUUUAAUUGCAUAGAAAACAGUAUCAAAUGGUCGCUUGCUAUUUUAUGUGAAUAAGUGUUUUGAAAAUAUUAUUGAUAUAAAAUGAUCAUUUACAGACAAAGCGUUACAAAUCAAUCUGCUGUCAAAUUCUCUGAACAAACAUAAUCUUCUGACACAAUCUGGGACACAUUUAAAAUAAACCACCCGCUUGUUUCGAAGCUGGGAUACUUCUGAAGUCUGUAGAGAGCUGCAAACAAGCUGUAUAAACUGGAGGCAUCAAAGCCAGAGUUCUUUCACUCUUCAUUUGUCUGUUGUGGAGUAUGUCAGAAACUGAAUUCUCUAUCAUAAUUUGUCAAGUGUAGGCAGUGGCACUAAUUAUAAUGGCUUCUAUUAGUUUUUGACGCAACACUUCCAGUGUAGGCAAAUGUCAGCUGUUAAGUAACUGAAUGCCAGUGGGCGGGGCCUAUGGUGUGAUGUGUCAGUGUCUUGCUCUGGAGGCGGUCAUAUGCAAAUGAACUUACCUGUGUAACAUCACAGAUCCUGCAAUAUCAAAAUGAGGAGCUUAAUUAAAUGCAUUGUUUAUAAUGAGGUGGAGAAUGCAAGCUAUGAAACUUGCAGGAAGUUUUAAUGGUACAAAGACCUGCUAUAUGUCAAAAGAUGAAGGCAAAUUUGAUCUAUCAUGUCAUGACCCAUUUAACUGGAAAAUUAGAUGUUUCACUCACAAAGUCACAUGAUGCUAUUUUAUUAUUUUCAGCCGUUUUAUAUUCAUCCUGAAUAUGUUGUGAUUAUUCUAAUCUCAAAGCGUCAGAAACUGCAUUCAAUCACAUUGUAUUACUUUAGGAUGGACAAUGCCAAUAUAUAGGGAAUUGGCAUAGAAAACUUGCUUGUACAAAGAGUGCCCCAUAUCCUUCCUACAAAAUCAAACAACUGGUCUUUAAUUACACCGAGGAAUAUACAGUAUCAUUUACAGUGCACUAAAAAUAAUUGUAAUUUUGAUGUACCAUAUGUGGAAACAUUCUUUGUUUUUAAAAUAAUGUUUGUGUUAUUUUAGUGUCAUGUGUGUUAACAUGUUUUGUGAUUGUGUGCAUGAAACUGUGUGCAGCUUCCAUAUAUUUGUAUGUACUGCUUCAAAAUGUAGCUUUUUUCUUUCUUUUUUUGUAAGUUAGUUUUAUUUUGUAUAAAUUACAAGUUGUUCUGUUUAUGUUUACAAUUUUCUUGUAUUUUUGCACAAUUAUUAUCCUGUAUCCUAUACUGUUUGCAUUAUUGUUCAAUAGUUGUUUAAUUAUAAACAACAAUAUAACAACAAUACAGAUUCUUUCAA